GCAAACAGUCUGUCCCGCAAUCACAGAGUGUGCAGAUCUUCCCAUUUCUGGGGCCUGCAGCCGGGCCAAGAUCCCCGGAAAGUCUCAGGGGACUCCAAGAGACCAGAGCCUGCCUGCUGAUCCAUAAGCCAAAGGAACACCCCUGUUCCUUGCUUUGCCCGGGGAAUUCCUACAACUUGGUGCAGGUCAGCCACCUCAGAGACAUAGAUAGCAAAGCAAUGUUCUUUCCUUCUACACGUAUUUUUUCACUUCGUGUUGAAAAGGCUGCCCAGGGGUGUUGCUGCCUAGGCUCACAGAUGAAGAGGGCUGAGAGGAAACACAGCAUCUAUUCUGUCGGAGGCGAGAUAACAUGGAAUCUGCCGUCCUCCCUGUCCUGCUGCUGUGAUAACCUGAGACUGGCUACGCAAAGACAAUGGAAGUUUAUCUGGUUCACGGUCCUGGAGGCUGGGAAGUCCAACAGAGCAUCUGGCAAAAGCUUCCUUGCUGUGUCAUUCAAUGGAGGAAGCAGAAGCAGGAGUGGGGGUUGCGGCUGGAAGUGGGGAUGAACAAGGAAGGGCUGCAUUUAGAACCAGCUUCCCUAUCUCUGGGUAACAGCCACGCCCACCAUGACAUUAACUCAGUUCCUGACAAUGAAACCCAAUGACCUCAUCACCUCCCAAAGAUCCUGUUUCCUAGCAACAGGGCUGUGGCAAUGAAAUCUCAAUGUGAGCUCUGGAGGGGCUACCCAAACUGAAGCACAGCCCACCUUUGCAGAGAUUCCUUCUGGCUCACCUUGCCAUUCCAGAUUGUGUCUAAUUAGACAGUAUUAAAGCUGACCUGAAGUUUCGGAAACCGAUUGGUCCUCACAGUCUUCUGAAAUACUAGUGGGUCUCGAUAAACAGCGGUUUCCAUGGAGACGACCAAGGAACGUUAUACCCGUGUCGCGAGGAGCUUCUGAUUUGUAUCUCCAGCCAUUAGCUUUCACGCACAUUUCAUUCAUUAUUCAUUUGCUAAGUGGAGAUGGCAGCAACCCAGAGCAUUUCAGGAGACCUGGGUCGGUGAAUCAGAGCAACGUGGGAAUACGCAGAGGGCGGCAGCAGCUCUUCAGGAUACGGGGAGACCAGCCGGGGAUUUAAACACCCCUCAGAAAGAACACGUGGGCAGACCCCACUUGCAGGCAUUCGCCGGCACACAACUAUAAAUUCUCAGGAACGGAGAAUUGAAAGCUCUUCAUGUUCCCCGGUGUUCGAGGGGGGAGGAGGGGUCACGGACCCCGGAAUGCACAGCACAGGUUGAAUCCAGAGACUAAGGGCUCACAGACCCUUUACUAAAUGCUCACCAGAAAACUUUGGCUUCAGGUAGAAACAUAAAGGAUCCAACUAUCAUGAGGUUGCCAUCGUGUGAAUACGGAAGCAACACCAGCAUUCUGCACACCCUCCCUGUCUGCUGGGACUUGGGACACCUGGGCAUGAGACCCUUUGGUUCUUGUCUCUUCGGUCCUUCUGCUGCUAUUACGUGUCUGAUCUCUGACUUUGCUCUCCACCACAGCUUCUUUCUUGGUUGUCCCAGCUAUACGUUCUGAACACUUCUCAGAGCUUACUUUGUACAAGAAGACAAUCGCUCUUGGUGUUAAUAAAACAUUGUGUGUGUGUGUGUGUGUGUGUGUGUGUGUGUGUGUGUGUGUGUGCGCACACACGUGUGCUUGGGGCACAGAUGCAGCAUGUAUUAUCUCCACCUGAACUUGGAAAUCUUAGAAUCCCUACCAACAUUAAGCCAUAGCUGUGUACACCUAGGGAACACUCCUGAUUGAACUGGGGACAAAUGGCCUUUAAUCACUGAAAUUCAAGUGAGACACCAUGUGCUAUUGUGUUUUAUGGGUUUUUGAACAGAUAUCUCAGUUCUGGAAAAGUUGUAGGAAAUAUAUUUUAAUGUUUCUACCAUGGCUUCUGUUUUGUUUCAUUUUGGAAUCUGGUGGAUUCUCUUGCAUAUAAAGCUUACCUGACAGGCCCGUAGACUCUAAAGCUGACUCUGGAUAAUAAUAUUUUCGAGCAUUGACAUGGGUCUUGACCGCCUUGGCCUCCCUGUGGACUAGUUCACGACAGAGCGAGAGGACAUGCCCUUUCCUGAUCACUGGGCUUUGUACAGAUGACUACACAGUAUGGACCUUGAGGCCUAAAGAGACGGCUCAGCAGUUAGGGUCACUGCUCUGGCAAAAGACCAGUGUUAAACCCCCAGCAUCCACCUGGCAGCUCACAACCGUCUGCAAUUCCUCUUCCAGGAAGCCUGACACCGUCUUCUGGCCUCUGUAGGCACGGAACACACCUGCGGUGCACAUACAUCUGUGUAGACAAAUCACCCACUAAUAUAAAUUUUAAAAAAUAUUUAUGGCAUACUGGAAAUUGCAAAACAAAAGAAAAAGGAAGGGAGCCAAAGACACAGAGAAGCCCAGGAGAAUCUGCCCACAGAUCUUGCAGUCUGACCUCCGUCUCAAUAACCAUCAUUCUUUCUCCACCUGUGUUUCUCCUUCAACAAACC